ensembl:lncRNA
GGCACGCCCGACCCGGACUGCGGAGACGCGGAGAGGCCCCGCCUGCUCGACCAACUCGGCCGGGUCUGGACCCAAGGGGUCUCGCCGCCCGCCCUGGGUCCCUGCCUUCUGCUUUCAGGCCAGGGUGCAGCUGGCUGAGGUCCGCCCCGACGCCCUGCCACCCCACCGCACUCUGAGCCCGGAGCUAGCAGAGAACCCAUCGUGCUGAAGAUGUUGGGCGACCAUCUUCGUGCAUCGCCCCUCGGUCUCCUGCUCCCUUCCCACUGUACAAGGCGGAGCUGGGGAGAGGGGUCUGGGAGGCAGGCCACCCACUCCCACCUCCAGCCGGAAGCAGCUCUAUCACCCGCCUUGCUCCGACCCGUCGGGUACCGGUGCUGACCCUGGCUCUGGGCCCCAUGAGAUGCAUAACUAGCACUACCAGUGAGACCGAGCCUCGGCUUCGGGUCCUCCUGCCUCUAGUUACCAGCUGGGCGUUCUUCAGCGCUUUUACUUCCCUUCUCAGAGCCUCGGUUUCCCCGUUUGCAAAAUGGUAGAGUGACUCCCAACUCUCAGAAGGAUAAAGACAAUGCACAUGUGGGCACGUGCCUAUUUCGUAACCCACAGAUCUCCUCAAACUACAGACCCCGAAUUAUCACUGUCACGGACCCUGCACCCCGGCCUGCGGGACACUCUCUCCAUCAGCAUCCUGGUCUCAAGGUGCUCCUCCUCCGGAUCUCACCACCACCAUCCGGCCUCCCUCCAGGCCACGUGUUGGGGGCUCCGGACCUCUGGGGAAGCCGCAGCGCUGUCUUUCGAUCUUGGCCCAGGUCCAGCCAUCGGGGCUUUGUUCUAUUACCACGGGUGUGAUGCGCUUUGGUCGACGCUGGCAGGGAUGUUCGAAACCCAACUAAUCCCCCAACGUUUUUCCAAAAAUGGUGCAUUUGUGAAUUUAUGCGUGUUUUCUUUGAGCAGUGCACGGUCUCUGUACGUUCUCAAAGGCUGGGGAACCCAGAAGUAAUAAACAAAUGAAAGUC